GGGACGGGACGGGACGGGACCGGUCGGGACGGGACGCGGAGGAGCCGGGAGCGGCCAUGGGGAAGCUGCUGGCGGUGGCUCUCGUCGGGAUAGCGGCAGCCUUGGCGGCGGAGCGGCUGCUGGCCUUCCGGAACAGAUUCAAUGCUUCACGGGAAGUAGCCCCAGUGAGCCUCCCGAACUGCCGGCUCAUUAAAGGGAUCGAAACUGGUUCAGAAGACAUCGAUAUACUUCCCAAUGGACUGGCUUUCAUCAGCUCUGGCUUGAAAUACCCAGGAUUAAAGAGCUUUGCUCCAGAUAAGCCAGGUGAAAUAUUUUUGAUGGAUUUGAAUGAAGACAAUCCCAGAGCAGUGGAACUGAGAAUCAGCCGAGGGUUUGACCUGGCAUCGUUUAACCCUCAUGGAAUCAGCACCUAUAUUGACAGAGACGACACCGUGUACCUCUUCGUCGUGAACCAUCCCCACCAGAAGAGCACAGUGGAAUUGUUUAAAUUUGUAGAAGAUGACAAUUCUCUUGUACACCUGAAAACCAUUCGACAUGACCUUCUGACAAGGUACAUCUAUAUUGCAGAUAUACUGGAUCACAAUGUGUAUGUCAUGGAAAAGCAUGCUAACUGGAGUUUAACCCAUGUGAAGACACUGCAGCUGGACACUCUGGUUGACAACUUGUCUAUUGACCCUCACACUGGAGACAUCUGGGCAGGAUGCCAUCCCAAUGGGAUGAAGCUGCUCUACUAUGAUCCUGAAAAUCUUCCUGCAUCUGAGGUCCUGCGCAUCCAGAACAUCCUCUCGGAGGAGCCUGUGGUGACACGUGUCUACUCUGACAAUGGCUCUGUGCUGCAGGGAAGCUCAGUGGCAUCCAUCUACGAGGGAAAACUGCUCAUUGGCACAGUCUUCCACAGAGCUCUCUACUGUGAUCUAUAGCUCGUCACGGGCAAGACCCGCUGCUGUGGAAAGGAUUUAAUUCCUUGGGAACUCACUUAGUUUCUGCUAGAUCUGCUAACAACAAGACUGUUCCAAUAAAGGUUAACUACAGUAAUGGAAAUGUAUUUUAGCCUUCCUCUCCAAAGUGAGACUUCUACACAAUAGUAAAGGACAUGGAAUUGAAGGAACUUGUAAUACAUUUUCAGCUAUGAAGAACAGAUGUCGUUCCUGGAGCCCAAGCUGAAAGAACUGCUCUGAAGGAAGUUCUCACAGUAAGGAGAAGUUGGGCUAUUCACUCAUUUGUGAUUAGCCAACAGUGGCUUGCACUAGCAUUCUAAUGUGAUUAUUCUAGAAUUGUACCACUUUUUAUUCUGAAGUGCUGUGUUCUAAAGAGUUACAUCAUGUAUCAGUGGCAGUGACACAGCUGAAAUGCCAAUCAGUCACUGUGCGGGUCCUGGAUUUACUCUCUGGGCGUAAAAGGGCAACAGCCACUUCCCUCUGCAGUGCAUUAGUAACCCUUCAAAACAUUAUUUUCACAUUUUUCUGUUGCUUAAAACAUCUUCAAAUGAGCAAAUCUACAAGUUGUUGGAUCUUGUCAAACUUCUACUUUUUUAUUGGUUUUGGCUUUUCAGAAAAUCAAGUCUGCCUUCACUCAUCACUGGCUUUUUCCUGUUCUAAACUGCUCCUGUGCUGAAGGUUUUCCCGUUGGUCUGCCUACAGAUGGAACCAUGAGCAAGCGAGGGGCCUUUUCCUACAGCAUUUGAGAGGAGAGACAUCACAGCUGUCUGCUGUUACUGACAGUAACCUUUUGACCUGAGGCCAGGAGGGCAGGAAGCCCAUUGCCAAGCUCCUCCCAGGUAUCCCAGCCUCGCAGCGCAGAGGUGGGAACUGAGCAGGGCCACCAGUGUCCAGGGGGUGCUGGGCAGGACACAGCCAGCAGGCAGCUGGUGUGCAGCAAGAGCCACGCUGGGUACAGCUUCUACCUCCUGGCAGCCCCAGUGCAGAAACAGCAGCGGCGCAAGACGCAGUUCAAGUUCAAGUCCCAAUUACAAAGUAACCUGCACACAGAAAAUCCAGGCUUGCAUGCCCAAGGAGGGCAUAACACAUCAUCUUUAACGCUCUGUAGAGACUGCAGCAGUUCUGGACAUUUCUGAAACCCAGCUGCAGCUAUCUGAGACAACCUGCACAAACAAGAAAGACAUAUGUACAGAUGGCUCCAGGCCUAGGGAGCAGACACAUUUUGCUUGUCAGCUGUGGACCCAGAGCAUCUUAGUAUAUCUGUUUUAAUUAAGAUAAUGAUUUUAUGAAUUGAGGAUUCUUUUUAUCUUCUUGCAGGUGGUGCCCCUAUUAGUGGAAGGUAAGAUUUAUGAUUCAGUCAUUGGGAAACACAAACUGGGUUAGACAGAUUAAGUGCACAGUGUUUGGCCUAGAUUCUGCCAGAUGUAAAUCCACUGAAAUGACUAUACAAAUUGCACAGUCUGUGCCCUUCGAUUUUCCCUAACUUAAUGCUUUACUAUAAUCAAAUAAAUAAAAGACUUAUUAAACAUAUUCAGUAAAAGAACUGCUGUACUUUUGAAUGUAUAAAAUGCCCAUUA